GAUGAACGCUGGCGGCGUGCUUAACACAUGCAAGUCGAACGAAGCACUUUAACUUGAUUUCUUCGGAAAGAUUGUUAUUGUGACUGAGUGGCGGACGGGUGAGUAUCGCGUGGGUAACCUGCCUCAUACAGGGGGAUAACAGUUGGAAACGACUGCUAAUACCGCAUAAGCGCACGGUAUCGCAUGAUACCGUGUGAAAAACUCCGGUGGUAUGAGAUGGACCCGCGUCUGAUUAGCUAGUUGGCGGAGUAACGGCCCACCAAGGCAACGAUCAGUAGCCGACCUGAGAGGGUGACCGGCCACAUUGGGACUGAGACACGGCCCAAACUCCUACGGGAGGCAGCAGUGGGGAAUAUUGCACAAUGGGCGAAAGCCUGAUGCAGCGACGCCGCGUGAACGAUGAAGUAUUUCGGUAUGUAAAGUUCUAUCAGCAGGGAAGAAGAAUGACGGUACCUGACUAAGAAGCACCGGCUAAAUACGUGCCAGCCGCCGCGGUAAGAC
rnacentral:rRNA from 1 species